CGCAGCAUCUCGCGCAGGUCGCGCGCGUCGGCCGUUCCUUCUGUGAUGCGCGCGCACAUGGACCGAAGGUCGGCCACAUGCUCUUGAGGGGCGGUCCGAUCGACCGCCCGCUGUCUCUUGCGUGCCGGUGGCCCCGCGGGCGCCGCGCCCUCGUCCCCCUCGCCUCUGCUACCAACGGGGGAUGUCUGUCGCUUCAUGACAGGUCGUCCUUCUUUUUUUUAUUUUAUUUUUUGCUUGGCGUUGUUGUUGGUAUUUUGCCUUGCUUCUAGGCUGUGCCGUUUUUCCUCCUCCUUUGCUGGUCCUGCUGCGACGGUGCGGCACUCUGCGCAUCCCACAAAAGUUGGUUCCUCUUUUUCCCUUCUCCCCGGCGGACGGAACCAUUUGCAGCACAGCCAACCCCGGCCCCGGUCGCCCAAUCCAGAGGCUUAUCGCCUUGUACGCCAUGGGUUCGACCGAAAAUGGGAAAAAUAAAAAGACACUCAAGGCAGCCUUUGCGCGUCGCCUUUUUUC
rnacentral:lncRNA from 1 species